UGCCCUUUCCCUGGAAGCCUUCCCUGACUGCCCUUUCCCUCUGGGGGCUCUCCCAGGAGCCCAGUCUGAAUCAUCAGGGGCCCUACCCUCCCGGAGUUGGCACCGUGUGGAAUCACUGAUGCCUCCACCGUGAGGCAGGUCUAAACAGGCAGAAGAACAGAGUCUGACACCUCAAACCCAGCUGUGAAGGAAUUACCCGGAUAAUUCGGAGAAAGCAGCCCCAGGGACCUGGCUUCUGGCUGCGUUGACUGUCUCCCCACCCGCCCCAGGUGAUACAGGAGCUCUGGUCCCUCUGCCCCGAUAAGGAAGCUGAGGCUCCAGGAGAUCAAGUGCCCGUGGUCACGCGGCGAGAGAGCGGCACAGCCAACACCGAAGCCUGAAUCCUCAACUGUGAGCGUGCCCCCACCUACCCAAGUCUUUUAUCGCUUGUUUAGAGAAGAGCGUUGCUGAGAUACCGUUCGUGUGCCAUGCAAUUCCCCCGUUCAAGUGCACAGUCCCAUCCGUGGCUUUCGGUAUCUCGAGCUGUGCAGCUCUCAGCGGUCAGUAGAGCCAGGUUGAGAAUGCUCUCGUCAUCUCGAAAAGCACCCCUUCCCCCUUCUCUGUCACCUCCAGUCCCCCUGCCCCCUCCCCUCCCCUGCCUUCUGUCCCUGUGGAUCUGCCCCUCCCGGACACCGCAUGUAAAUGGAAUCAGACAAAAUGUGGCCCGUUGUGUGUCCGGCUUCUUUCACGGAACAUCGUCCGCAUCGGGGCGUGUGUCAAGCUUUAUUCCUUUUACGGCCGAGUAAUGUUCCCUGAUGUGGACGGAUCGCAUAGUCAUGGGUUUGUCCGCGGAUGGACCCUUGAGUUGUUUCCACCUUUCGGUUAUUGUUACUAGUGCUGCCGUGAACGUUCCAGGCAGGUUUGCAGUUCUCUGGGGAGUCCCCGUUCCUAGGAAGCUGUUCUGGUGCCUGCCGCUGUGCCUUUCUCUUGCCGGGACUUCCCUCCCUGGGUUUCCCCCCUGCCCAGUCAGGUCUGACCUGUGCCUCCGGCCCCAGCACACAUCCCUUUUCUCACAGUGGUCACUCUCUGUUCUUCUCAGCUUCCGUCAGAGGCAGGGAGGUUGCUCGGCCCUUGCGUCCUUUGCCCCGUUACCCUCUUGCUGUGUGAUGUCGGGCUGCUCACUCAGCCUCUCUGGACCGCAGUGCCUUUAUCUGUGAAAUGAGGACCUAAGUCUGACCCCGUGGGGCUGCUGUGGGGGACGAGACAGUAAGAGUUCUGUGUGCUGGGAGCCUGGAGCGUUGAAGACGUGCCCUCUCCAGCCGGGGGUUCUUACCCGGCCCAAGUUCCAGCCCCAGGCAGGCCUUGGUUGUUGUCCUAAACCACCCUCGGCCUGCCUUCAAGGAGCAGUGCGAGAGUGCAGGUUUUCAACCGCGUGCAAGUUUACCGCCCAGACACAUUUAGCAAUGGGCCUCUUCCGUUGUCACGGUGGGGUGAGGGCUGCUCCUGGCAUCUGGCGGAUGGAGGCCAGGGCGGCUGCCAAGCGUCCUUCAGGGCACAGGACGGCCCCCAACGGAGAAAUAUCCACCCAGCUCCACCUGCUAACAGCGCCUGAUCGAACGAUAGUAUCGUCACUCCUUUAUCGUGUGUGCAUUUAUUUCUCGGUCAAAAUGCUUUUCGUUGACGUAGAUGGACACAGAACAUUGCGUCACUUUCAGGUUCUAGCCUGUGGAUGCGAUACUUGUAUAUGUUGUGAAAUGAUCGCCACGAUAAUUACUACUGUGCAAUUACUGUCACGCCACAGUCACAAAAACUUUUUCUUUUCUUUUGAUGAAUGCUCCGGAUCUGCUCUCUUAGCAGUUGUCAAAUACACACCUCGAUAGUAUUACU